rnacentral:rRNA from 1 species
UGAGGAAUUUUGCGCAAUGGGCGAAAGCCUGACGCAGCAACGCCGCGUGGACGAUGAAGGUCUUCGGAUCGUAAAGUCCUGUCGAGUGGGAAGAAAAAUGGGUGAGCUAAUAUUUCAUCCAUUCGACUGUACCACCAAAGGAAGCCCCGGCUAACUCCGUGCCAGCAGCCGCGGUAAUACGGAGGGGGCUAGCGUUGUUCGGAAUUAUUGGGCGUAAAGGGCGCGUAGGCGGCCGAAUAAGUCUGACGUGAAAUCCCCCGGCCCAACCGGGGAACUGCGUUUGAUACUGUUCGGCUCGAGUCCGGGAGAGGGUAGUGGAAUUCCCAGUGUAGCGGUGAAAUGCGUAGAUAUUGGGAGGAACACCGGUGGCGAAGGCGGCUACCUGGACCGGUACUGACGCUGAGGCGCGAAAGCUAGGGUAGCAAACAG